rnacentral:rRNA from 2 species
CUCGUGGCGCUGGCAUGUUACGUGCCCGCUGCUAUCAAGGCAACCUACUCGGAUAACCAUAGUAAUUCUAGAGCUAAUACGUGCAACAAACCCCGACUUCUGGGAGGGGCGCAUUUAUUAGAUAAAAGGCUGACGCUGGCUCUGCUCGCUGAUCCGAUGAUUCAAGAUAAAUCGACGAAUCGGACGGCCUUCGUGCCGGCGACGCAUCAUUCAAAUUUCUGCCCUAUCGUAUUUCGAUGGUAGGAUAGGGUCCUACCAUGGUGGUGACGGGUGAUGGAGAAUUAGGGUUCGAUUUCGGAG